rnacentral:rRNA from 1 species
AGAGUUUGAUCCUGGCUCAGGAUGAACGCUAGCGACAGGCUUAACACAUGCAAGUCGAGGGGCAGCGGGGGCGAAGCUUGCUUCGCCUGCCGGCGACCGGCGCACGGGUGAGUAACACGUAUGCGACCUGCCCCCCGCAGGGGGAUAACCGGGAGAAAUCCCGACUAAUACCGCGUAACGCCGCUGGGCUGCAUGGCCCGGCGGCCAAAGGAAGCGAUUCCGGCGGGGGAUGGGCAUGCGGCGCAUUAGCUAGUCGGCGGGGUAACGGCCCACCGAGGCGACGAUGCGUAGGGGUUCUGAGAGGAAGGUCCCCCACACUGGUACUGAGACACGGACCAGACUCCUACGGGAGGCAGCAGUGAGGAAUAUUGGUCAAUGGGCGGGAGCCUGAACCAGCCAAGUCGCGUGAGGGAAGACGGUCCUACGGAUUGUAAACCUCUUUUGCCGGGGAGCAACGGGGUCCUUGCGAGGGCCCGAUGAGAGUACCCGGAGAAAAAGCAUCGGCUAACUCCGUGCCAGCAGCCGCGGUAAUACGGAGGAUGCGAGCGUUAUCCGGAUUUAUUGGGUUUAAAGGGUGCGUAGGCGGGCUGUUAAGUCAGCGGUCAAAUGUCGGGGCUCAACCCCGGCCUGCCGUUGAAACUGGCGGCCUCGAGUGGGCGAGAAGUAUGCGGAAUGCGUGGUGUAGCGGUGAAAUGCAUAGAUAUCACGCAGAACUCCGAUUGCGAAGGCAGCAUACCGGCGCCAGACUGACGCUGAGGCACGAAAGCGUGGGUAUCGAACAGGAUUAGACACCCUGGUAGUCCACGCAGUAAACGAUGAAUGCUAGCUGUCCGGUUCUACGGGACUGGGUGGCACAGCGAAAGCGUUAAGCAUUCCACCUGGGGAGUACGCCGGCAACGGUGAAACUCAAAGGAAUUGACGGGGGCCCGCACAAGCGGAGGAACAUGUGGUUUAAUUCGAUGAUACGCGAGGAACCUUACCCGGGCUCAAACGCCAAAGGACAGCCGUUGAAAGGCGGCCUCCCCCCGGGGUCUUUGGCGAGGUGCUGCAUGGUUGUCGUCAGCUCGUGCCGUGAGGUGUCGGCUUAAGUGCCAUAACGAGCGCAACCCCCAUCGACAGUUGCUAACGGGUAGAGCCGAGGACUCUGUCGAGACUGCCGGCGCAAGCUGCGAGGAAGGCGGGGAUGACGUCAAAUCAGCACGGCCCUUACGUCCGGGGCGACACACGUGUUACAAUGGCCGGUACAGCGGGAUGCCAGGGCGCGAGCCCGAGCGGAACCCGAAAACCGGUCUCAGUUCGGAUUGGAGUCUGCAACCCGACUCCAUGAAGCUGGAUUCGCUAGUAAUCGCGCAUCAGCCACGGCGCGGUGAAUACGUUCCCGGGCCUUGUACUCACCGCCCGUCA